CAACCCUCGCACUGGGAUGCUCUUAGAAUGUUUUUCUCACGAAUAUAAAGGGCGUGCUUUGGCAUCUACUACUUGAAAACAUGUGGGAAGAGCAGUAGUAACAAUAAAUUGGUAGUUCUACCCAGGAGAGAACGUUUCAGAGCUUUGUGUUUUAGGGUUUCUCUACUGCUACAAUAAUUUUCACCCCAAGCCAUGGAAAGGCGCAGAAGAAGACUCAGAACUGCAAGUGUACCGACAACCAUUUCAACCAAUUGCAAUUGCUAAGAAGAAGAAAAACAAAGCUGUGUCGUUGAUCUUCCAUCCUCCAUCGUUGUCGAUAUUCUUUGGAGACUUCCAACCAGGACUCUCUUGAGAUGCAGGUUCUGUCUAUUUGCUUGAGCUGGGAGAAGACUCUAAUAAUGUUCAUCGACCUCACUGGCCAAUUAGGUUAAAAAUCAAAUAUAACAACACCCCAAAGCAAAAUUUAAUAUUAUUGGGUUCUUGUAAUGGCUUGUUUUGUUUGGUUGAUUACUUUACAGACGCUAUAUACAUAAGCAAUCCCAUUUUGGGAGAAUGCGUUGAACUUCCCAAAACAGAGGCAAAAGAAUCUUCAGUGGCCAUAUUUGGAUUUAGUCCCACAACAGGGCACUAUAAAGUCUUAAGAUUUAGUUACGCGGACGUUGAGGUUUAUACUCUUGGAACUGAUACAUGGAGAAAUGUUGGGGAUUCACCGUUCGCGACAUACGGAAUUGAGUGGUGUGAUGUCACUUUCAAUGGUGCUGUUCAAUGGAUGGAUGUGAGGGUUACAAGUAUCUAUUCGUUUGAUAUUGAUGAAGAGAAGGUCCAUCCUAUCCCAAUUCCUCCUGAGUUAAGAAACAUAAACACCUAUGGGCUUCCGAUGAGAUUGGGGGUGUUAAGAAAUUGUCUCUGUAUAUAUCAUAAUUCCUGUGAUUAUCUUCAUAUAUGGUCCAUGGAAGAUUAUGGAGUAGCUGAAUCUUGGACUAAAGCUCAAUUCCACCGGGGGUGCUUAAGAUUUUCCCACUUACACUAUGGAGGAAUGGAGAGAUCUUGUUUUCAUGUGAUGAUGUUCUACUAAUUUCUUAUAAUCACGAAAAAGGGAGUUUUACUGCGCUCAAGGUUUAUUACCGAAAAGAAAACAUACGUUUGGAUUUAAUGUAGUCACCUACCGUCCAAGCUUUUUCCUACUCAAGGAUGUUGCAAGCAGUGGAGGUUUGAGGAUGGUAGAUGUCAAGUCAAAAUAGUAAGUCAAACUCCUAAGCUCUUUGAUGGCACCAGGAGGGAAAGAAGGAAGCUACAUGUGCCGAAGCGAUUUUCUGCAUGGAUUCUAUUACAAAAGAAGGAUGGUUAUUUUAUUUUAUUUUAUUUAUAUUUAUAUGUUAUCCUAGUUGUUCUGGAUCCUUUAUGCAUAUGGAUUUUAGAAGGACCUUGUACCCUUAAGUUCUCUUGGUUUACUUUCGAAAUACCCUUAGCACAUUGGCAAAAUAUAUACACAUAAUUACACAUAGCUCUCUAGAUUUUUGAGUUGA